ACGUUAGCGGCGGACGGGUGAGUAACACGUGGGUAACCUACCUAUAAGACUGGGAUAACUUAGGGAAACCGGAGCUAAUACCGGAUAAUAUUUCGAACCGCAUGGUUCGAUAGUGAAAGAUGGUUUUGCUAUCACUUAUAGAUGGACCCGCGCCGUAUUAGCUAGUUGGUAAGGUAACGGCUUACCAAGGCGACGAUACGUAGCCGACCUGAGAGGGUGAUCGGCCACACUGGAACUGAGACACGGUCCAGACUCCUACGGGAGGCAGCAGUC
rnacentral:rRNA from 1 species